GAGUUUGAUCCUGGCUCAGAUUGAACGCUGGCGGCAGGCCUAACACAUGCAAGUCGAACGGUAACAGGAAGCAGCUUGCUGCUUCGCUGACGAGUGGCGGACGGGUGAGUAAUGUCUGGGAAGCUGCCUGAUGGAGGGGGAUAACUACUGGAAACGGUAGCUAAUACCGCAUAAUGUCGCAAGACCAAAGAGGGGGACCUUCGGGCCUCUUGCCAUCGGAUGUGCCCAGAUGGGAUUAGCUUGUUGGUGGGGUAACGGCUCACCAAGGCGACGAUCCCUAGCUGGUCUGAGAGGAUGACCAGCCACACUGGAACUGAGACACGGUCCAGACUCCUACGGGAGGCAGCAGUGGGGAAUAUUGCACAAUGGGCGCAAGCCUGAUGCAGCCAUGCCGCGUGUAUGAAGAAGGCCUUCGGGUUGUAAAGUACUUUCAGCGGGGAGGAAGGGAGUAAAGUUAAUACCUUUGCUCAUUGACGUUACCCGCAGAAGAAGCACCGGCUAACUCCGUGCCAGCAGCCGCGGUAAUACGGAGGGUGCAAGCGUUAAUCGGAAUUACUGGGCGUAAAGCGCACGCAGGCGGUUUGUUAAGUCAGAUGUGAAAUCCCCGGGCUCAACCUGGGAACUGCAUCUGAUACUGGCAAGCUUGAGUCUCGUAGAGGGGGGUAGAAUUCCAGGUGUAGCGGUGAAAUGCGUAGAGAUCUGGAGGAAUACCGGUGGCGAAGGCGGCCCCCUGGACGAAGACUGACGCUCAG
rnacentral:rRNA from 1 species